GCUAAUUGCCGAGGUCCUCUUCUAGGAUUGGUUGUCCACUCAUAACCAUAAGAUAAUUAAAACGGGGGGGGGCAGGGUAAAAAAAAAACCCUUUUAUCAGCCAUAGGUUAAUGCAAGUGUUUAACAGAUGCUUCGCUAUUAAAAUAUUUCCCCCCAAUACUGAAGAAUCUUAAACCAGAAGGCACAGUUCAUUCUCGAGCAAUUCGUCACCUCCUGGGGGUCUUCUCUUCCCGUCUACAGGAGAGUGUGACUUCAGAAAGAACUUCGGAUUGGCCAAGGCAGGUCUGAUUCUAUUUAUUCUAAAGACAGAGUUGGAGAUGGGCUACCAUUGGUGUUGAUUGAGAUGACAAGCAGUCACCUGAGCCCAUACAGCUGGGUUCACAGAUGUGGCUAGUCUUGCUAGCCAGCUCGCACUGUGGACAUUCUAGGGAACUGACUGCAGUCCUCAUGCUUGGAGUCAAACACUUUAACCACUGCACACGUUUAUGUAAUAGGAUUGACAUAUGAGAAUCAGAGAAAUGAAUGAAAGAUUAGAGUGGGAGAAAGUGCUUGCUGCCAAGCUUGAUGACCUAAAUUGAAUACCUGGAACCUACACGACAGAAAGAGAGAGCUGACUGCUGAAAGAUGUCCUCAGAUCUUCACAUGUGCACAGUGGCACCUAUCCAACCAUGCACAUAGUAUAUUAAAAAUUAUUUUUUAAAAAA
rnacentral:lncRNA from 1 species